AAUUUUAAAAUUAAGAUAAUAAAAUUAUUAUUAUAUAGAAAUAUUAUUGAUUUGUUAAUUUUUAAAGGUUUAAAAAAAAAUGUUGUUUUAUUAAAAAUUUUUGAAAUAAUUUAAUAUAUUUAUAGUUUAAAGUAAUGUGAAUGAAAUAAGUAUUAAAUGUUAGAAAGUAGAAUAUUUUUUUGUACCUUUUGUAUCAGGGUUGAUUAAAAAUAUUUUAAUAAUUUAUGUAUCUCGAAAAUAAAAGAGCUAAAUUUAUAAAAUUUUUUUUGUAGCAAUAAAAUUAUAAAUAUAAAUUUAGAAAUUAUAUGUUAAACGAAUUUAUUGAUAUCUAUUUUUUUUAGAAAUAAAUUUAAUUUAGAUGUAAAAAUUUUAUAAAUUAAAAUUAUAAUUUUGAUUUAUAAUUUUUAUAUUAAAAAUUUAUGGGAUAAACUGUAAAUUUAUGGAUAAAAAUUUUUUUUUAAGAAAAAAAUUUUAAUUUUAUAGAAAUAAUAUUUAUUUUUAAUUUAAAAAAUUUAAUAAUUUAUUAUUAAUGUAAUUAGAAAGAUUUAAAUUAAAAAUUUUAUUUUUAAUAUAAAGAUAUAUAUUAAAAUUUAUAAAGUAUAGUAAUAAUGAUUAAAUAAGUAGUAAUAUUUAUAGGAUAUAUUAUAAUAUAUAUAUAUAUGUAUAUAUAUAAUUUAAAGGAAUUCGGCAAAAUGAUUAUUCACCUGUUUAUCAAAAACAUGUCCUAUUGUUUAUAAUUUUAGGUCGAUCUGCUCCAUGAAUUUUAUAUUUAAAUAGCUGCAGUAUAUUGACUGUACAAAGGUAGCAUAAUAAAUUGUCUUUUAAUUGAAGAAUUGAAUGAAUGGAUUAAUGAAAUAAUAACUGUCUCUAAAUUAUUUAAUGAAUUUAGAUUUUUAGUAAAAAUUCUAAAAUUUAAUUAUGGGACGAUAAGACCCUAUAGAAUUUUAUUUAAUUUAUUAUUUAUAUAAAUAUUAAUAUGUAAAUAAUAGUUUAAAUUUGAUUGGGAGGAUUAAUAAAUUUAAUAAACUUUAUUUAAUAAUUAAUUUUGAUUUAAAGAUAUAUUUUGAUUUAUAAAUUAUAAUUAUAAGAAUAAAUUACCUUAGGGAUAACAGCGUAAUAUCUUUUGAUAGACCGUAUAGAUAAAGAUGAUUGCGACCUCGAUGUUGAAUUAAGAUUAAAGUUAAACGCAGAAGUUAAAAUUUUGAGUCUGUUCGACUCUUAAAAUCUUACAUGAUUUGAGUUCAAAUCGACGUAAGUCAGAUUGGUUUCUAUCUAUAAUAAAUUUUAAAUUAAUUGUACGAAAGGACCUUAAUUUAUAAAUAAU
rnacentral:rRNA from 1 species